GAGUUUGAUCAUGGCUCAGAUUGAACGCUGGCGGCAGGCCUAACACAUGCAAGUCGAGCGGUAGCACAGAGAGCUUGCUCUCGGGUGACGAGCGGCGGACGGGUGAGUAAUGUCUGGGAAACUGCCUGAUGGAGGGGGAUAACUACUGGAAACGGUAGCUAAUACCGCAUAAUGUCGCAAGACCAAAGAGGGGGACCUUCGGGCCUCUUGCCAUCAGAUGUGCCCAGAUGGGAUUAGCUAGUAGGUGGGGUAACGGCUCACCUAGGCGACGAUCCCUAGCUGGUCUGAGAGGAUGACCAGCCACACUGGAACUGAGACACGGUCCAGACUCCUACGGGAGGCAGCAGUGGGGAAUAUUGCACAAUGGGCGCAAGCCUGAUGCAGCCAUGCCGCGUGUAUGAAGAAGGCCUUCGGGUUGUAAAGUACUUUCAGCGGGGAGGAAGGCGAUAAGGUUAAUAACCUUGUCGAUUGACGUUACCCGCAGAAGAAGCACCGGCUAACUCCGUGCCAGCAGCCGCGGUAAUACGGAGGGUGCAAGCGUUAAUCGGAAUUACUGGGCGUAAAGCGCACGCAGGCGGUCUGUCAAGUCGGAUGUGAAAUCCCCGGGCUCAACCUGGGAACUGCAUUCGAAACUGGCAGGCUAGAGUCUUGUAGAGGGGGGUAGAAUUCCAGGUGUAGCGGUGAAAUGCGUAGAGAUCUGGAGGAAUACCGGUGGCGAAGGCGGCCCCCUGGACAAAGACUGACGCUCAGGUGCGAAAGCGUGGGGAGCAAACAGGAUUAGAUACCCUGGUAGUCCACGCCGUAAACGAUGUCGACUUGGAGGUUGUGCCCUUGAGGCGUGGCUUCCGGAGCUAACGCGUUAAGUCGACCGCCUGGGGAGUACGGCCGCAAGGUUAAAACUCAAAUGAAUUGACGGGGGCCCGCACAAGCGGUGGAGCAUGUGGUUUAAUUCGAUGCAACGCGAAGAACCUUACCUACUCUUGACAUCCAGAGAACUUUCCAGAGAUGGAUUGGUGCCUUCGGGAACUCUGAGACAGGUGCUGCAUGGCUGUCGUCAGCUCGUGUUGUGAAAUGUUGGGUUAAGUCCCGCAACGAGCGCAACCCUUAUCCUUUGUUGCCAGCGGUUAGGCCGGGAACUCAAAGGAGACUGCCAGUGAUAAACUGGAGGAAGGUGGGGAUGACGUCAAGUCAUCAUGGCCCUUACGAGUAGGGCUACACACGUGCUACAAUGGCGCAUACAAAGAGAAGCGACCUCGCGAGAGCAAGCGGACCUCAUAAAGUGCGUCGUAGUCCGGAUUGGAGUCUGCAACUCGACUCCAUGAGGUCGGAAUCGCUAGUAAUCGUAGAUCAGAAUGCUACGGUGAAUACGU
rnacentral:rRNA from 1 species